CAUCUGAGUUUUCUCAGAGUAGGUGAACAUAUGCACACACACACGCACCGAUGUUUUUCAACUUUUUUCUUUUGGUUUUUGGUAACACGUAUUAACUUUCUUGAUGUUUGUUGAUCGUGAGCUCAAAAUAGUACGUACCCAUUUAGAAAAUAUCUGAAUAGAACCUUUGCAGACAAAUAAGUUGCGUUGACAAGCGAAAACGAAAGAAUUUUCAUCAUAAUGUCGAUCGCACAAACUGUAUUUUUUUUACUGUUCAUAAUAUGUUUGGCGGAUACACUCAGCUGGUCAAAAUAUGGACGUACAUGCAAGGAUAUUAGGUGCUUGCCAUGUGAAGUGUGUAUCAUUGUCCAAGAUGAAUGUUUGCAUUUUCAAAUAGAAGGCAGUGAAUGUGGAAAAUAUCCAGUAUGUGGGAAAUUGGUUCAAACAAAUGAUUUAACAGAACCAGAUAUACAUGUGUCCCCUAGUGUGUCCCUUUACGACCAAUGGAUGGAAGUGGCUGCAAAAUAUCGCAGAUCCAAUCUGCUCUAUUUAUCGAAACAACAGGAGGCCGCUUCAACACAUUGCACACUUUCACGCUUUUUAUUCAUCAUCAUUAGUAUUCUUAAUUUUUUCACUCAAUUUUCAUAUCGCAAUUAUCAUUAAGAUUUUUUUAUUUUGUUUAGUAUUUGAGAAUAUCGAAAAAAAUAGCUAUCGAAAGAAAUUCUUAUAAUUUCUUUGUAUUAUGCAUGUAUGAAGUGCAAAUGU